rnacentral:rRNA from 1 species
AUACGUAGGGGGCGAGCGUUGUCCGGAAUGAUUGGGCGUAAAGGGCGCGUAGGCGGCCCGUUAAGUCUGGAGUGAAAGUCCUGCUUUUAAGGUGGGAAUUGCUUUGGAUACUGAUGGGCUUGAGUGCAGGAGAGGUAAGUGGAAUUCCCAGUGUAGCGGUGAAAUGCGUAGAGAUUGGGAGGAACACCAGUGGCGAAGGCGACUUACUGGACUGUAACUGACGCUGAGGCGCGAAAGUGUGGGGAGCAAACAGGAUUAGAUACCCUGGUAGUCCACGCCGUAAACGAUGAGUGCUAAGUGUUGGGGGGUUUCCGCCCCUCAGUGCUGCAGCUAACGCAUUAAGCACUCCGCCUGGGGAGUACGGUCGCAAGACUGAAACUCAAAUGAAUUGACGGGG